rnacentral:snoRNA from 1 species
CAGCAUCCUCUGAUAGACCAUGAGCACUCUUCCUAUUGCUCUCUGGUUUGCACUAAGAUGCAAAAAUAACUUCCUUGCGCUUUCUGCCUGCCUGACUGUGGCAGCUCAGAUUGAAUUGGGGAAUACACAA